rnacentral:rRNA from 1 species
ACCGUGGUAAUUCUAGAGCUAAUACAUACUAAAAACCCCGACUUCGGAAGGGGUGUAUUUAUUAGAUAAAAAACCAAUGCCCUCUGGGCUCUUUGGUGAUUCAUAAUAACUUAACGAAUCGCAUGGCCUUGCGCCGGCGAUGGUUCAUUCAAAUUUCUGCCCUAUCAACUUUCGAUUGUAAGAUAGAGGCUUACAAUGGUAUUAACGGGUAACGGGGAAUUAGGGUUCUAUUCCGGAGAGGGAGCCUGAGAAACGGCUACCACAUCCAAGGAAGGCAGCAGGCGCGCAAAUUACCCAAUGCUAAUUCAGCGAGGUAGUGACAAUAAAUACUGAUACGGGGCUCUUUCGGGUCUCGUAAUUGGAAUGAGUACAAUCUAAAUCCCUUAACGAGGAACAAUUGGAGGGCAAGUCUGGUGCCAGCAGCCGCGGUAAUUCCAGCUCCAAUAGCGUAUAUUAAAGUUGUUGCCGUUAAAAAGCUCGUAGUUGAACCUUGGACCUGGCUGAUCUGUCCUCCUAAUCGAGCGCACGGAUUCGGUCGGGUCUUUCCUUCUGGGGAGCCCUAUGCCCUUCACUGGGUGUAGUGGGGAACCAGGACUUUUACCUUGAAAAAAUUAGAGUGUUCAAAGCAGGCCUUUGCUCGAAUACAUUAGCAUGGAAUAAUAGAAUAGGACAUCGGUUCUAUUUUGUUGGUUUCUAGGACCGCUGUAAUGAUUAAUAGGGAUAGUCGGGGGCGUCAGUAUUCAAUUGUCAGAGGUGAAAUUCUUGGAUUUAUUGAAGACUAACUACUGCGAAAGCAUUCGCCAAGGAUGUUUUCAUUAAUCAGUGAACGAAAGUUAGGGGAUCGAAGACGAUCAGAUACCGUCGUAGUCUUAACCAUAAACUAUGCCGACUAGGGAUCGGACGGUGGUUUUUUUAUGCCCCGUUCGGCACCUUACGAGAAAUCAAAGUUUUUGGGCUCGGGGGGGAGUAUGGUCGCAAGGCUGAAACUUAAAGAAAUUGACGGAAGGGCACCACCAGGCGUGGAGCCUGCGGCUUAAUUUGACCCAACACGGGGAAACUCACCAGGUCCAGACAUGCUUAGGAUUGACAGAUUGAUAGCUCUUUCUUGAUUGUAUGGGUGGUGGUGCAUGGCCGUUCUUAGUUGGUGGAGUGAUUUGUCUGCUUAAUUGCGAUAACGAACGAGACCUUGACCUGCUAAAUAGCCAGGUUGACUUUUGUCGGCCGCCGGCUUCUUAGAGGGACUUUUGGCUCAAGCCAAUGGAAGUACGAGGCAAUAACAGGUCUGCG